GCUGGGUGUGGUGGUGCGCACCUGUAAUCCCAGCUACUUGGGAGGCUGAGGCAGGAGAAUCACUUGAACCUGGGAGGUGGAGGUUGCAGUGAGCUGAGAUCGCGCCACUGCACUCCAGCCUGGCUACAAAGUGAGACUCUGUCUCAA
rnacentral:SRP_RNA from 1 species